UGGAACACCUCCUUUCUAGAGCCUUAGUGUUAGUUGAUUUAUCAACACGCUGAGGAAAAAAGAUGUUCAUUUAAAAAGUUCUGAAUCGAAAGAUUCAAUUACUCUUGCUGUUAGUUCAAAUAAUAAAUUUUAAGUAAAACAGAGUCUCGUAGCUCAGCUGGUUAGAGUACUACACUGAUAAUGUAGGGGUCGGCAGUUCGAGUCUGCCCGGGACUACUUUUUAAAUUGUUAAUUAUAAAUYAUGAAUUGUAAAUUAUAAGAAACAAAUAAAUUAAAAAGACUGUAUGCUUAGAAAAAGGAAAUUCUGGAAGUUGGAAUUCACCAAAAGAAAUUAGAGAAGAAUUAGAAAUCUAAAAUCUGAAUUCUACAAUCUAAGAUUUAAGAAAUGGGGGAUUAGCUCAGCUGGCUAGAGCGCCUGCCUUGCACGCAGGAGGUCAACGGUUCGACUCCGUUAUUCUCCACUGGUUGUCUAUAAAGAUAGACAAUAAAAGUUCAUUGACAUAUUGAGAUAAGAAAAUAAUAAAAAGUAGAAAGCGUUUUUUGUUAUAGUAGAGAUACGAAUAAUAAAAGACAAAAAAAACGGUCAUAUUAAUUUAUGAUUGGUACAAUAAGCAAAAUAAGGGCGUAUGGGGGAUGCC
rnacentral:tRNA from 1 species